ACGCGAAGAACCUUACCUGGACUCGAAAUCUAGUUGACAGUCUCAGAGAUGAGAUCUUCCCGCAAGGGACGGCUGGAUAGGUGCUGCAUGGCUGUCGUCAGCUCGUGUCGUGAGAUGUUGGGUUAAGUCCCGCAACGAGCGCAACCCUCACCCUUAGUUGCUCGCCCGCAAGGGAAGCACCCUAAGGGAACCGCCUCGGAUAACGGGGAGGAAGGUGGGGAUGACGUCAAGUCCUCAUGGCCUUUAUGCCCAGGGCUACACACGUGCUACAAUGGCCGGUACAAAGCGUCGCCAACCCGCAAGGGGGAGCCAAUCGCAAAAAACCGGUCUCAGUUCGGAUUGCAGGCUGCAACUCGCCUGCAUGAAGCUGGAAUCGCUAGUAAUCGCGUAUCAGAACGACGCGGUGAAUACGUUCCCGGGCCUUGUA
rnacentral:rRNA from 1 species